UAAACUAGAGGACUCCAUUAAAGCACUCAAAAACAUGCACCAUUUUUACAGACAACGGAACCCACUAGAGACAGUGUCACCAAUCAACCAAAGAAACAACAAACUAGAUUUUUCUUGCAAGCCAAAAGCAAAUUUAGCAACCCAUUACACUUAAAUUGUACCCUCUUUUCUUCCAUCUCCUUCAUAACUAAUUGCUAGCUGUUUGACCAUCAUGAGAAGCACUGUAUGCUCAAUGCUUCGUGGACGCCCAUUUCGGCCUGAAAUGCCACCAGCGUAUGGAGUUACAAGUUUAAUAUCAACAGUAAAGAAAGUAAAAGGCUUGGUUUCUGAACAUGCUUUUAGAUUCAACUCG
rnacentral:lncRNA from 1 species